rnacentral:rRNA from 1 species
GUGGGGAAUCUUGCGCAAUGGGCGAAAGCCUGACGCAGCCAUGCCGCGUGAAUGAUGAAGGUCUUAGGAUUGUAAAAUUCUUUCACCGGGGACGAUAAUGACGGUACCCGGAGAAGAAGCUCCGGCUAACUUCGUGCCAGCAGCCGCGGUAAUACGAAGGGGGCUAGCGUUGCUCGGAAUUACUGGGCGUAAAGGGCGCGUAGGCGGAACGCUUAGUCAGAGGUGAAAGCCCAGGGCUCAACCUUGGAAUUGCCUUUGAUACUGGCUGUCUUGAGUUUGGGAGAGGUGAGUGGAACUCCGAGUGUAGAGGUGAAAUUCGUAGAUAUUCGGAAGAACACCAGUGGCGAAGGCGACUCACUGGCCCAAUACUGACGCUGAGGCGCGAAAGCGUGGGGAGCAAACAGGAUUAGAAACCCUAGUAGUCC